UGAAGCGGCAACAGCUCAAAUUUGAAAUCUGGCCCCUAGGGUCCGAGUUGUAAUUUGCAGAGGAUGCUUUUGGCGAGGCGCCUUCCGAGUUCCCUGGAACGGGACGCCAUAGAGGGUGAGAGCCCCGUCUGGUCGGAUGCCAAGCCUAUGUAAAGCUCCUUCGACGAGUCGAGUAGUUUGGGAAUGCUGCUCAAAAUGGGAGGUAUAUGUCUUCUAAAGCUAAAUAUUGGCCAGAGACCGAUAGCGCACAAGUAGAGUGAUCGAAAGAUGAAAAGCACUUUGAAAAGAGGGUUAAAAAGUACGUGAAAUUGUUGAAAGGGAAGCGCCUAUGACCAGACUUGGGCCCGGUGAAUCAUCCAGCGUUCUCGCUGGUGCACUUUGCCGGGCACAGGCCAGCAUCAGUUUGGCGCGGGGGAUAAAGGCUUUGGGAAUGUGGCUCCCUCGGGAGUGUUAUAGCCCAUUGCGUAAUACCCUGCGCCGGACUGAGGUACGCGCAUUGCAAGGAUGCUGGCGUAAUGGUCAUCAGCGACCCGUCUUGAAACACGGACCAAGGAGUCGUCUUCGUAUGCGAGUGUUCGGGUGUCAAACCCCUACGCGUAAUGAAAGUGAACGCAGGUGAGAGCUUCGGCGCAUCAUCGACCGAUCCUGAUGUUCUCGGAUGGAUUUGAGUAAGAGCAUACGGGGCCGGACCCGAAAGAAGGUGAACUAUGCCUGUAUAGGGUGAAGCCAGAGGAAACUCUGGUGGAGGCUCGCAGCGGUUCUGACGUGCGAAUCGAUCGUCAAAUAUGGGCAUGGGGGCGAAAGACUAAUCGAACCUUCUAGUAGCUGGUUUCCGCCGAAGUUUCCCUCAGGAUAGCAGUGUUGAACUCAGUUUUAUGAGGUAAAGCGAAUGAUUAGGGACUCGGGGGCGCUAUAUUGCCUUCAUCCAUUCUCAAACUUUAAAUAUGUAAGAAGCCCUUGUUACUUAAUUGAACGUGGGCAUUCGAAUGUAUCAACACUAGUGGGCCAUUUUUGGUAAGCAGAACUGGCGAUGCGGGAUGAACCGAACGCGAGGUUAAGGUGCCGGAGUGGACGCUCAUCAGACACCACAAAAGGUGUUAGUACAUCUUGACAGCAGGACGGUGGCCAUGGAAGUCGGAAUCCGCUAAGGACUGUGUAACAACUCACCUGCCGAAUGUACUAGCCCUGAAAAUGGAUGGCGCUCAAGCGUCCCACCCAUACCUCGCCCUCAGGGUAGAAACGAAGCCCUGAGGAGUAGGCGGACGUGGAGGUCAGUGACGAAGCC
rnacentral:rRNA from 3 species